rnacentral:rRNA from 1 species
CCUACGGGGGACAGCAGUGAGGAAUAUUGGUCAAUGGACGAGAGUCUGAACCAGCCAAGUAGCGUGAAGGAUGACUGCCCUAUGGGUUGUAAACUUCUUUUAUAAAGGAAUAAAACGAGGCACGUGUGCCUUUUUGCAUGUACUUUAUGAAUAAGGAUCGGCUAACUCCGUGCCAGCAGCCGCGGUAAUACGGAGGAUCCGAGCGUUAUCCGGAUUUAUUGGGUUUAAAGGGAGCGUAGAUGGGUUGUUAAGUCAGUUGUGAAAGUUUGCGGCUCAACCGUAAAAUUGCAAUUGAUACUGGCAGUCUUGAGUACAGUUGAGGUAGGCGGAAUUCGGGGUGUAGCGGUGAAAUGCUUAGAUAUCACGAAGAACCCCGAUUGCGAAGGCAGCUUACCAAACUGUGACUGACAUUGAUGCUCGAAAGUGUGGGUAUCAAACAGGAUUAGAUACCCGGGUAGUC